UUUGCUUUUAUAUUUUAAAACCUAACUUUUCUCCUCGCUCGCCUCGCCGUUCCUCGCCGAAACCUAACUUUUCUCCUCGCUCGCCUCGCCGUUCCUCGCCGAAACCUAACUUUUCUCCUCGCUCGCCUCGCCGUUCCGCGGAGUUCCUAGCCUUCGCCUCGGUGUCGCCUCGGUGUUCCUCGACGUUCCUCGCCCGCGACGCCGUGCUCCUCGACUCGGUGUUCCGCUACCAGUGCCCGCGACGCCGUGCUCCUCUUCUCAGCUCAUGCGCACAAGUCCGCUACCAGAGGCCAACCCUUCUUCGCCGACCCAUGCCGGCACGGUGGAAUUCUGCCCGCCCCAGUGCCCGCCUUCUACUCAGCCUAGACCUCAUCUCCCUUCAGGCAUGCAACAGGAUUCUCUUGCCUUUUCUUUUCUUGGUUUUCCAGUGAAAGAUUGGAUUUUAAUUUGUCCAGAUUAAGGAGCUUCUGAGGUCGCCCAAGUCCGAGGCCAUCGGCCGAAUAGUUUGGGUGGUUCCCAACAUCCCGUGGGAUUAUGCAUGAUAUCAUCCAGGAAGAAGAUCCCUCCUUGCGAUCUUCGUCACUAAAUCCUUGGCAUUUCAGCUGAAGGAAGUUAGACAACAAGUAGAUCUUGGCAUCAAGGGAAAUGCAGACCAAAUCCCGAGUUCAGGACUAUUUGAUACUGUGCGCGCACGGGAGCGUAUAAGAAGAUGUGUACAGUAUGCAAACUAUAUAUAUAUAUUAGUUAUGUGAUUAUCAAGUAAUCACAUAAUCAAAAUUAUAUGAUUACCAAGCAAUCACGUAAUUAAGAUUAUGAGAGAAUAAAAUAUAAUCUUAAUCUUA